rnacentral:rRNA from 1 species
GAUGAACGCUGGCGGCGUGCCUAAUACAUGCAAGUCGAGCGAACGGACGAGAAGCUUGCUUUUCUGAUGUUAGCGGCGGACGGGUGAGUAACACGUGGAUAACCUACCUAUAAGACUGGGAUAACUUCGGGAAACCGGAGCUAAUACCGGAUAAUAUUUUGAACCGCAUGGUUCAAAAGUGAAAGACGGUCUUGCUGUCACUUAUAGAUGGAUCCGCGCUGCAUUAGCUAGUUGGUAAGGUAACGGCUUACCAAGGCAACGAUGCAUAGCCGACCUGAGAGGCUGAUAGGCCACACGGGAACUGAGACACGGUCAAGACUCCUACGGGAGGCAGCAGUCGGGAAUCUUCCGCAAUGGGCGAAAGCCUGGCGGAGCAACGCCGCGUGAGUGAUGAAGGUCUUCGGAUCGUAAAACUCUGUUAUUAGGGAAGAACAUAUGUGUAAGUAACUGUGCACAUCUUGACGGUAACUAAUCAGAAAGCCACGGCUAACUACGUG